rnacentral:rRNA from 1 species
UACGUAGGGCGCAAGCGUUGUCCGGAUUUAUUGGGCGUAAAGAGCUCGUAGGCGGUCUGUCGCGUCGGCUGUGAAACCCCGAGGCUCAACCUCGGGCCUGCAGUCGAUACGGGCAGACUAGAGUGUGGUAGGGGAGACUGGAAUUCCUGGUGUAGCGGUGGAAUGCGCAGAUAUCAGGAGGAACACCAAUGGCGAAGGCAGGUCUCUGGGCCACAACUGACGCUGAG